UGGGCCGGUUAAUCACCACUUCUCGCUGUUCACUUUGCCGGUACAGGCCAGCAUCAGUUCAGCGCGGGGGAUAAAGGCUUCGGGAAUGUGGCUCCCUCGGGAGUGUUAUAGCCCGCUGCGUAAUGCCCUGCGCCGGACUGAGGUACGCGCAUUGCAGGAUGCUGGCGUAAUGGUCAUCAGCG
rnacentral:rRNA from 1 species